rnacentral:rRNA from 1 species
UAGGGAAUAUUGGACAAUGGGGGCAACCCUGAUCCAGCCAUGCCGCGUGAGUGAAGAAGGCCCUCGGGUUGUAAAGCUCUUUUGUCCGGAAAGAAAAGCUUCGGGUUAAUACCCCGGGGUUCUGACGGUACCGGAAGAAUAAGCACCGGCUAACUUCGUGCCAGCAGCCGCGGUAAUACGAAGGGUGCAAGCGUUACUCGGAAUUACUGGGCGUAAAGCGUGCGUAGGUGGUUGUUUAAGUCUGAUGUGAAAGCCCUGGGCUCAACCUGGGAAUGGCAUUGGAAACUGGGCAGCUAGAGUGCGGUAGAGGGUAGUGGAAGUCCCGGUGUAGCAGUGAAAUGCGUAGAGAUCGGGAGGAACAUCUGUGGCGAAGGCGACUGCCUGGACCAGCACUGACACUGAGGCACGAAAGCGUGGGGAGCAAACA